UUAUCUGUAAGCCAUAAUCAUCAAAAUUAAAAGAAACAAUGGUUUGAAAUAUUUCACACUGUGUGUUAUCAAUCUAUAUAAUAUGAGUUUCCCUUUCUGUAAUUAGUGACAGGAAAUUUCUAACUUUUUUUCUAUAUUUUAAAUUUUUGAGAUGUACUUGUAACAGUAACAGGGAAGGAAAGAUGAUACAUAGUUUUCAAUAUGUUUUACAAAUAACAGUGUUAGACUUGAUUCUCAUGAAUUAUAUUAAAGUAUGUAACUCAGAUCUAAAGUGUGCUGCUAAAUUUAGAUCAACUCUGUCUUUCCAACAGCUCCAGCUUCCCUUUUCCUGCCAAAGAAAGGCAUCCCCAGAUCAUGAUUGUGCCACCACCUGAUUGACAAUGAGAAUGGUGUUUUUAGACCGCCAUAGUUUAUUUAUAGCUUGAGAUAUUGUCUUAUGUCUUCUUUAACUUCUCCACUACUUCUUCCCUUACCUAUCCAGAUAUGUUCCUGGGUCUUCAUUAUGAUUUUUGUUUGGUAAUGUUGUUGAGGACUUCACAGAACAACUGUAUUUAGACUGAGAUCUAUUUACACAUAGGUGUACUCUCUUCACUUUUAUUAAGUGACUUCUCAACUGCAACGGAAGCCUCUUCUGUUGCAGUUGAUUUAACCUGGGGGUUUCUCACAAAAGGGUUAGUUGUAAAAGGAGUAUUUUCCAAGGCACUGCACAGGUUUACAGACAUCAAGUGGGCGCAGUGUCAUAAAUUAGACAGUUACCCAAUAAUCUUUUGGAUUUGGAGUUCAAGACUGGUUGCUGGAUGGGCAGGAUUAAGAACAUCUGAGUGACAGCUCAGGUUGAAUGGAUGUGGUAAAGAGAGACCCUGGGUAUAUUAGUUGAAGGAUGCUGGUGAUGGAGCUACUAGAUAAGAGGGCAAAGAGAAAACCUGGGAAAAAGAGUUAUGGAUGUUGUGAGAAAGUGUUUGCAGAUGGACAGAGAAAGAUGCAGAGGACUUGAAAAACAGCAAGCACAAGUCUUCAUAAACCGGCCCCAGUAUUGAAUUAAUUAUCGACAGUUUUGAUUAAAUUACUCAUGAUUGAAGAAAGCAAUCUGAGGAAAAUAUUUGUGAGCUUCACUAAGUUAAGUGAGGGGAUUGAAUGCUUUUUAAUACCUAAUAUGAAUUUCUAUGGAGUCUGUUAGGUCUAGGCCUUUAGCAGUGUUCUGUCUGAGAUUUAGAAAUUGUGAAGUUCUUUAUAUGUCUUCUUUGUAGCUUUUCUGUGUUUUUAUUGUCUGGUACAAAAAUCUUCUUUUUAUCCAAAAUGUUUUAUAGCAGAAGCUGGACUGUUCAUUUAAAAUAGUGCACAUGACAUUUUCUGGACAGCAGAGAUGGGGACUCAAGUCACACGUUAGUUGCAAAAAAAAAAAAAAAGACUUCAGACUUGACUCAGAAUCUACUUGGACUCAUGGUCUAGUUCUCACGAACAAUUUUUAUAAUUUGAGUAAAUGGCUAAGUUACUAUUGUGUAGUCGUGUAUUCCUUCUCGGAGAUGUUGGGUAUUUAUGAAUACAUGCACUUUUAUGUAAUGGAUGCAGAUGUUUGAAAUAAAGACUCCAUUUCAAUCCGGUUUUCACUGCUUGUUUUUUUUUUUUUUUUUUAACAUGGUAAAAUGAUUCCAGAUUGCUCGCUCGUCUUCCAACUUUUGCAAACAUGUUGCUGACAUCAUCUAAAAAUGUAACAAAGAAUAGUAAAAGCAUGUCAAAUUGACUUAUUUUUUUUUCAUUUAUUUAUUAUGUUUUUGUGCUUUUGGCUACAGUUUCUAGAGCAUCCGCCUUUCUUUGGAAAGGUGCCAUUAUGUGUUGCCACGGGAAUUUAGGGUGCUUUAUGCAUGUGUCAGAUCAUUUCUGUGAAUUAUCUGAGGUGGGGUAAAGUCCGACAUUCGGGCUGACUUACAGCAGCAGCACUAGACCUUUGAGAGAAACAAAAAGCAGGAAAAUUGAGAGAAGGAAGUACCUUACUCCCACUGUUCUGUAAUUUUAGCAGCCUCUCUCAUUGUUUUCUGACUUAUUUCACUGUAUUUGAUUCUCUUCCAAUUUUCCUCUCAACUCUCCCCCCCCAAAAAAAUGUUUCAGUGAACUCUCAUCUGGACAUGGGCAGUACAGGCUCACAAGGAAUACACAAACACCCUCGCGUAGUGUUUGUUGUUACAUUAUGAACUAAGGUUUUGUUAUUUGUGUCAUGCGAUGUGCACAUAUUGUCAGGAUCUGUUGCCUUUUGGACUCUGUGGCUUUGUGUUAUUUUGAGUGUUUGGUUGUUUCUUCCCCCCUCGUUCAUAGCUCCUUUAGUUACUGUUGUUUUUCUUAUGACUUAGUAUGAUUUUCUCUUUGUUGUCAUUGUUACCAUUAUUAUUAUGAUUGUUCUCUGUUUUCCUUGGGUUCUUUAAUUAGUUCUCCAUCUGGUUUCUCUGUGUUUUUAUUUGUGGUUAGGUAUUUGUUUCUUCCCCCUUGCACUCUUCUGCUUAUUAGUUUAUUUUUCUGUUACUUUUCAGUUAUACUGUAUUCGGUCUUUGUUUCCUAGUCCUCCCAGUCUGGUUCUCUUUAUCUUAAUUCUCCAGUCCCUCUUUAUAGGUUAGCUUUUGUUAUUGUUUACUUUUAUUCUUGUCCCCGCUUCCUCUGCCUCAUUCACAAUUUGUUCUUUCAGUAUUGGUUUUUAGUUUCUUUUAGGGUCGGCUCACUAUCUUGUCUUUAGUCCUUUUCCUCAUUUAGUUCUAUUAGGUUCACCUGCUCCCUCUGCCUCCCAGCCUCCUUGUCUCACCUGUUCUUGGUUCCUUUGAUUACCUGUCUUUGUUCUCCCUCAGUAUAUUAGUUGUUUUUGUUUCUUUGUCCUUUGCUGGUUCCUCUGAUCACAUUACCUGAUUUUGCUCAGUAUUUGUUACGUUCCUACAGUACAACGCAGAAGUUUUGAUUGUACUCAUGCCUUGCACCUGCGGCCUGUGAGUUUGGUACAUAUCUCUUAACAGAGCUACAGUGGGAGGCAGACCUACUUCUUUGUGUUCUCCUCCAAGUGAUUCAAGUGGCUGGAUGCUCUGCUCUCGGACCUCUGAAACAACAACACCAUCAUGGGAGGGAUAAAAGUACACUGCCAUUGUUUGACUAUACCCACAGCUCUGACCAGAAACCCUGGAGCCGCUCAGCCUGCCCAGUGACACAUGGAAACAAACAAGGUGCAAAUAGCAAGGACAAACUAGGCUCCAGUUUCAGGUCAUCUCCCAUGAAAACCAGGAGGCAGUGCAGGGCAGCCAAGCGAAGAGGGUCCGUCCUACUGCUGGGACACCUUAGGCAAAGAGACCUAUGGGGAUGAAGAGCGGAUGAAGUUGGUGUAAAUUCAGCGACGGCUUGUCGUUUCCAAGAUACACUCUGAACCUCUUGCUACAAUCUGCAGGAAGUGAGAGGAGCCAAAUGAUCCCAAAUGCUCAGGAUUAAAUAACUCCAGGAAGCAGUAAUAUACAGCGAAAGGAGCAAAGAGUAUCAAAUCCGUCCGCAGAAAACAGUUUCCUUCUUAAACCCAGGCGACACUUUACAUCUGGUCUCCUCUCCCCACCCUUCACAUCAUGUGACCGAAAGGGCUUUUUAUGCUUACUUUGCGAACAGGCAAAAUU